rnacentral:ribozyme from 2 species
UGUUUAACUCCGCCUGUAGCCCAUGCGGAGGCUACUGCCGGUCCCAAGCCCGGAUAAAGGAGGAGGGUUGGCA